rnacentral:rRNA from 1 species
GACGAACGCUGGCGGCGUGCUUAACACAUGCAAGUCGAACGGAAAGGCCCUGCUUUUGUGGGGUGCUCGAGUGGCGAACGGGUGAGUAACACGUGAGUAACCUGCCCUUGACUUUGGGAUAACUUCAGGAAACUGGGGCUAAUACCGGAUAGGAGCUCCUGCUGCAUGGUGGGGGUUGGAAAGUUUCGGCGGUUGGGGAUGGACUCGCGGCUUAUCAGCUUGUUGGUGGGGUAGUGGCUUACCAAGGCUUUGACGGGUAGCCGGGCUGAGAGGGUGACCGGCCACAUUGGGACUGAGAUACGGCCCAGACUCCUACGGGAGGCAGCAGUGGGGAAUAUUGCACAAUGGGCGGAAGCAUGAUGCAGCAAAGCCGCGUGCGGGAUAACGGCCUUCGGUUUGUAAACCGCUUUCGCCUGUGACGAAGCGUGAGUGACGGUAAUGGGUAAAGAAGCACCGGCUAACUACGUG